rnacentral:miRNA from 1 species
UGCAUCCCAUGUGACCGCCCU